CUUAGGUUGAUAAAAAUAUAAGCAAUCCUGAGCCAAAUAUUAUUUCGUUCGAAAAUAAAAUAGGUGCAGAGACUCGAUGGAAGCUAUCCUAACGAAUAAUAUUUUAAAAAUUAUUUAAAAUUUAUUUUUUAGAUAUUAAGCGAGGAUAAAGAUAGAGUCCAAUUUUACAUGUUAAUCUUAGCAACAAUUUAAAUUGUAGUAGAAAGAAAAUCCGUUGGCUUUAUUGACCGUGAGGGUUCAAGUCCCUCUACCCCC
rnacentral:tRNA from 1 species